rnacentral:misc_RNA from 1 species
AAAAAAAAAAAAGAAAACAUUCCGUCUUAAAUUGGUUAAAUCAACAAUAAUUUAUAAAUUUCCUGAGGAAACACAACAAACGAUCCCAUUAACACAAACCCAUUUGAACCCCAAGUAAUGCUAAACGAAACAACAGCGGGAGUGAGGAUGGACACGAAUCAACACUAAACCCUAUGAAAUAAAAGGAUUAUAGAAGGAUAUGGAAUGCAAAACCCUAAAACAAGAAAUUGAAAAUUGAGCAGAUUGAAAUGCAACGAGCAGUGGAAGCAUGCUCAAAAAAAAAAAAAAAAU